rnacentral:rRNA from 1 species
GACGCCACGCGUGGCGUUCCGAGAGUACCCGAAGAAAAAGCAUCGGCUAACUCCGUGCCAGCAGCCGCGGUAAUACGGAGGAUGCGAGCGUUAUCCGGAUUUAUUGGGUUUAAAGGGUGCGCAGGCGGAAGAUCAAGUCAGCGGUAAAAUUGAGAGGCUCAGCCUCUUCGAGCCGUUGAAACUGGUUUUCUUGAGUGAGCGAGAAGUAUGCGGAAUGCGUGGUGUAGCGGUGAAAUGCAUAGAUAUCACGCAGAACUCCGAUUGCGAAGGCAGCAUACCGGCGCUCAACUGACGCUCAUGCACGAAAGUGUGGGUAUCGAACAGGAUUAGAUACCCUGGUAGUCCACAC